UACGGAGGAUCCAAGCGUUAUCCGGAUUUAUUGGGGUUAAAGGGAGCGUAGGUGGGUUGGUAAGUCAGUGGUGAAAUCCCCGAGCUUAACUUGGGAACUGCCAUUGAUACUAUCAGUCUUGAAUACUGUGGAGGUUAGCGGAAUAUGUCAUGUAGCGGUGAAAUGCUUAGAUAUGACAUAGAACACCAAUUGCGAAGGCAGCUGGUUACACAAUUAUUGACACUGAGGCUCGAAAGCGUGGGGAUCAAACAGG
rnacentral:rRNA from 1 species